AUCUCAAAAUCAGCAGCUUUGGUAGUGCUGUGACUUUCGGUUUCUCUGAAAGUGUUCCUCAAAGAAGCCAGUAUUUGAAUUGUUUGCUACUCAGCCACGAAGAGAUAAGAAGCCUGUGUCAGAAUGCAUGUGAACACGCUGCUUGCUUCCUAGAAGCCUUGCUUUGAAAAAGAAGGUCUGCCCAUCCACAUCAUUUUGGCUGAAUGCGUGACCUAUCCAAUCCUUCCUCUCAUGGAAACACCAACUCAUCCAUGCCCUCUGUGCUGAAACUUCGUCUCAGCCUGCUGGAAUCACCUGCACCCCAUGGGAACUGUAGCCAUAUCUUCAGUCCUGUGAGCCCCCGUCAUGGCCUGUCACAGGAGUAAAUGAGGAGUAAGGCCCAGAAUACUCAGUACCUCUCAAUGACCCUCAGACGCUGUAGGAAGAGGAUUGGUUCACCUUUUAACCCAGAAUUUCUCACAUUGAAUGGACAGGAUGCAUUCCAAGAGGCCAGAGUAUGUGCAUCUCAGCUCCUGAUGGUUUCCACCACCACCAUUACUUUCUCUAUGUCAAGAUACCUGGGAAGCCGGUGUUUCAUUUGCAUUCUUGGAGCCCAGGAACUGUCUUCUACAAACUUUUCUUCCUAGUACCAUGUAAACGUACACAGGAAACGUUCAGAAAACAUCAGCCAAAUAGAAGAAUAAGGAAAUUCCUUCACUGACUAGAUAUUGGUGUUUGAUUCUGUCCUGCUUUGUACUCAAUGGCUAUUUCGGGGUUUCCAUUGCGGAAAACUAUUUGGAAAAUUGCAAGCCACGAGACAAGCCUCUAAGCUACUCCAGGAUCAUUGAGGACUCUCCAUGGGUUCUUAUUGUUAAAGAUCUUAACUCCUCAAGCCACUGCAUUUUUACUAUAUGCCUUGAACUACAAGAUGUGUUAAGAUUUAUAGGAUAAGGUUCUCAUCUCUAAAAACUCAUGGUCUCGAUGGAGAAGCAGUAUUUACACACAUGGAGAAGUUGAGAGUACUUGAAUGUGGAGUAUAAAGUGUGCGAUAUUGACAAGAAGCUCUACGAAAGUUCAGGAAGAGGAGGAGCAAGUGAGGAUGGAGAUGGACUUUGCAGAAUGGAGGAGAGGCAAAGAAACGGUUAGAAACAAUCUACAUAAUGAAAAGUCACUUUUGGGAGUUGUUUUAAGGCAGAGUAUCAUAUCGCAUCAAAACCGCUCCAUAAGUCCUGCCACUCCACGUGCAAUGCCAUGAACUUGAAGAAACUGCUGGUAAGAGAAAGCAAAUGCUGUGACCAGGCAAGUUAGAAGAAUCUUGGUCGUCCAGAAAGCUUGCUAUAGCUGCCCAGCAUUUGCCUCCUCCACAAAGAAGGACCAAAAGAACAAGUAGACAAUCACAUGCCAAAUAAAAUGUCUAAAGGAGAGCACUGAAGCUCAGCAAAAACGUUACAAAGACCCUCUGAGGUGCAGAAACUCGGGAUGGCAGCACAAAGAGGAAAGCAAAGCAGCCGGUCAGGAUCAGCUCACAGUCAAGGGCGCCCCGCCUUGAGUAGGAAAUGUAAGCAGGAGAUGCCCUGCAGGCAACAUUCCCACCACAAAUGCCUGCAAGCCUAGCUGUAGGAGAGCCUCGCAGUGUUGAGCCCAGUGCGGGAGCUGCCUGGAGUCUCUGUGACUACAUUACUCCAGAGAGGCCACUGGGUCCCUCCUUAGUCCCUGGGACCCAAGCCGCUGCAGCACAGUAUCAUUUUGAGGACAGAGCCACUGCCAGAAUGCUUCCUGUCCUGGGGCCCGGUAACCCCUGCAUGUCCUCAUCACUGGAGCCCCAAUAUCAUUCCACAGUUGUAUGAGGAGUAAAAAUAACUAUAAAUAAAGAUAACUCAAGAAUUCUAUAAGCAAGCAUACACAUGAAAUUCAUUUUAUAAGAGGAAAGCUAACUCCAUCUCUCUUGAAAUAUGGAAUAGGUUCUUGAAGCAAUUCUAAAUGCUGAUCUGCUGGAAUGAUGGCUUCAUUGCACAAGAAUUCUGCUUAGUUCAUUGAAGUCUCCUUGAAGAAGUCAGUCUGAGAAUGGGGGAAUUCCGUUGUUGGUCAGAAGAAUUCUUUGGUCACUAUUGGAAGUGGGUUCAGUUUAGGGUGACUAUUGAUCAACAGGGUUCAUGGGUUUGCUAAAACUCAUUUCAGGCAAGCUUUGGAAGUGCAGUUCGCUUGGUGCUUAUGGGGUUAAAAACAGGAGGAAGAGAAUUUCACAUUAUUGGAGGGCCUGAAAGGAAACUGAUUCCCGCAAGAUGCUCAGACAAGAUCAAACCCAGCCCCUUUUCUGGUUUGGAAUUUCUCUGGGCUAUAAAGGUAGAAGAAAAGGCCCUGCAUGGGCCCACUCUAAGUGCUUGGAGGUUUUAGAUAAUUUUAUUAAAUUGUAGAAUCUUAAACAGAACUACAAGGUUGCUUUUAAAACCAGAUCUCAGAUUUCUUUGAGCUAACAAAUGGUAAAAUGUAUCUUUAGUAUUAGAGUGAGAUAAAGGUAGUUAUAACUUUUUUUUUUACUUAUUUUAUGUUAACGUAUGCAACAAAGGGUACAAAUUGUAGGUACGCAGCUCAUUGAACUUUUAUGUCUGCACAUGCCUAUGAAACCAACACCCAGAGUAAGAUGCGGAUAAUUUUCUGCUCCCCUGAAAAUUCCCUUGUGCCUUUUCCUCAUCAGUACCUCCAAAGGUAACCACUAUUUUGAUUUCCAUUACCAUAGAUGAGUUAUACUUGUUUUUGAAAAGAUUAUUUGAAAUGUGUAAUAUAAAUAAUAGCGGUUGCUUAUCUUACAGAAAUAUCACUGAGAAUUCAUUUCUUCUCUCCUUCAUUUAUUCAUUUGUUCAAAACACUGUCUAGUACCAACAUUGUCCACCGGGCGUUGAGAAUACAAUAUUGAAGAAGAGUCACUGCCUGCCCUCUGGAAAAAUCAGAGUAUUUGAAAGAAUACACACAAGUAAACAGGCAGCUAUGGCAAAGUGGGUAAAAGCUGCAAAACAGGGAAGUUUCGCCAAGUGUCAGAUGCCAAGAAGUGUCAGAUGCCAAGAAGAAAGGGUGCAUGACAUAGACUUGGGGGGGUCAGUAGUGGUUUCUGGAACGAGUGACAUUUAGACUGAAACUGGAAGGAUAUGAGUAAGGGCUAAUCGGACCAAGAUGAAGAGAUACAGAAGCAGAAGGAACAGUAGGAACAAAUGCUCAGAGGCAAAAGAAAGCUUUGAAUAUUUGAGGAACUGAAAAGCAAAACAACAAAAAAUAGCCAUCCCUUGACUAGACAAGUGACCUGGGGUCAGAUCCUGAAGGGCUUUGCAGAUCACUUUUCCGCUUGUAGACUUUGUACUUGACUUUAAGGGCCAUGGAGAGCCACUGAAGCAUUUUCAGCAAGGGACUGUCAUCAGCAGAUUGGUAUUUGUUUUGAAGUAGCACAUGUAAGAGAAAAUAACAAUAUGGACAAAUAAAGAGUUUGAAAAACAACUUUGCUUUGAUACUUUAGGAUGAAAUAUCUGAGAUAGCAGCGCCCCCCCCCCCAUCAGCCAUUUUUAAUGACACUACUAUUUGAGCACAAGUUGCAAGAAAAUUUGCAACAAAUAGGCUUUUUCUGUAGAACACAAAGCAGGGAUGUUUGAACGAUGCAUUAUUUGAAUUCCAUCUUAGUAGGAAGCCAUCCAUAAUAGGAGGAAGUUGAGGAAUAGGCCUAAUGUUCACAGUGGCACAGGUGGCGUUUGCAUCUGCCUUCAAUGUUCCUAUGAUACGAAUCCUCCACUGCAGAAAAUUCCUCGUGGAAUUUUCUAUUUUAUGUGUUAAACUUUAUCGAAAUCUUUUCCUGAUGUUUAUAUUUCUGUGAUAAUCAUUAUUAAACUGAAAAAUGCGGAA
rnacentral:lncRNA from 1 species